rnacentral:rRNA from 1 species
GACGAACGCUGGCGGCGUGCUUAACACAUGCAAGUCGUACGGUAAGGCCCUUUCGGGGGUACACGAGUGGCGAACGGGUGAGUAACACGUGAGUAACCUGCCCACAACUUUGGGAUAACGCUAGGAAACUGGUGCUAAUACUGGAUAUGUGCUCCUGCUGCAUGGUGGGGGUUGGAAAGCUCCGGCGGUUGUGGAUGGACUCGCGGCCUAUCAGCUUGUUGGUGGGGUAGUGGCCUACCAAGGCGGCGACGGGUAGCCGGCCUGGGAGGGUGACCGGCCACAUUGGGACUGAGAUACGGCCCAGACUCCUACGGGAGGCAGCAGUGGGGAAUAUUGCAAAAUGGGCGCAAGCCUGAUGCAGCAACGCCGCGUGCGGGAUGACGGCCUUCGGGUUGUAAACCGCUUUCAGCAGGGACGAAGCUUUUUGUGACGGUACCUGCAGAAGAAGCACCGGCUAACUACGUG